rnacentral:lncRNA from 1 species
UCUCGCCUACGUCGCUUACAACGUCUCAACGAGUCUCUCUCGCGCUCUCAGCAAGCUCUCUCAAUCUCGUUCCCAAUCGCCCAUGUCUCCCUCAAUCGUGUACGAAAUCAAUGGCUGAAACAAAAAACUCACCUUCGGCGGUGACAACGGCAACGGUGAAGCUCUCAGGUUUGUCUUUGAUUUGGUGGUUAGGGUUUUUCUGUG